UUCGCAAUGCCCGAAAGGGUGACGAAGCGACGCCGCGUGUGGGAAGAAGGCCUUCGGGUUGUAAACCACUGUCGGGAGUUAGGAAAUGUAAGGGUGCUAAUAGUAUCCUUACUUGACUAAGGCUCCGGAGGAAGCCACGGCUAACUCUGUGCCAGCAGCCGCGGUAAUACAGAGGCGGCAAGCGUUGUUCGGAAUUAUUGGGCGUAAAGAGCACGUAGGCGGCCUUGUAAGUCAGUUGUGAAAGCCUUCUGCUUAACGGAAGAACAGCAGCUGAUACUGCAAGUCUAGAGUGCGGAAGGGGAGAGUGGAACUUCUGGUGGAGCGGUGAAAUGCGUAGAUAUCAGAAGGAACACCGGCGGCGAAGGCGACUCUCUGGUCCGUAACUGACGCUGAGUGUGCGAAAGCUAGGGGAGCAAACGGGAUUAGAUACCCCGGUAGUCCUAGCCGUAAAC
rnacentral:rRNA from 1 species